rnacentral:rRNA from 1 species
CGUACACUCCUACGGGAGGCAGCAGUGGGGAAUAUUGGACAAUGGGCGCAAGCCUGAUCCAGCCAUGCCGCGUGAGUGAUGAAGGCCCUAGGGUUGUAAAGCUCUUUCACCGGUGAAGAUAAUGACGGUAACCGGAGAAGAAGCCCCGGCUAACUUCGUGCCAGCAGCCGCGGUAAUACGAAGGGGGCUAGCGUUGUUCGGAUUUACUGGGCGUAAAGCGCACGUAGGCGGACUAUUAAGUCAGGGGUGAAAUCCCGGGGCUCAACCCCGGAACUGCCUUUGAUACUGGUAGUUUUGAGUUCGAGAGAGGUGAGUGGAAUUCCGAGUGUAGAGGUGAAAUUCGUAGAUAUUCGGAGGAACACCAGUGGCGAAGGCGGCUCACUGGCUCGAUACUGACGCUGAGGUGCGAAAGCGUGGGGAGCAAACAGGAUUAGAAACCCUAGUAGUCCCAUGA